rnacentral:rRNA from 1 species
CCUACGGGUGGCAGCAGUGAGGAAUAUUGGUCAAUGGACGGAAGUCUGAACCAGCCAUGCCGCGUGCAGGAAGACGGCUCUAUGAGUUGUAAACUGCUUUUGUACAAGGGUAAACCUGAAUACGUGUAUUCAGCUGAACGUACUGUACGAAUAAGGAUAGGCUAACUCCGUGCCAGCAGCCGCGGUAAUACGGAGGAUCCAAGCGUUAUCCGGAUUUAUUGGGUUUAAAGGGUGCGUAGGCGGAUGGAUAAGUUAGAGGUGAAAUGUCCGGGCUUAACUCGGGAACUGCCUCUGAGACUGUUGGUCUGGAGUGUAGGAGAGGUAAGCGGAAUGUAUGGUGUAGCGGUGAAAUGCUUAGAGAUCAGACAGAACACCGAUGGCGAAGGCAGCUUACCAAUCUAUAUCUGACGUUGAGGCACGAAAGCGUGGGGAGCAAACAGGAUUAGAUACCCGAGUAGUC